rnacentral:tRNA from 1 species
GCCUUCGUGGUGUAGUGGUCAGCAUACCCGGCGCGUAUUCGAAAGGUCCGCGGUUCAAUUCCCGGCGACGGCG